ACAGAUUAGAAUCCUACUCAUUCAGGGAUUACAAUAUUGUGCUACCUACUGUAUUAAUAAAAAGGAAACUGGUCUCUAUGAGAGUCUCUAUCUGGUGCCUUCAGACAAAACUUCACCAGGUGUAGAGAGAAAACCCCUGUCUCUACAUCUCUAUUCCAGGGCGAGCUCACUCUCUGGCAUCAAGUUUCCCGUGACAGAUCCUCGGCCAAGACUCUGGCAGACAGUGUGACAAAGAGGCUUGGUGUAGGAGAUACGGAUCGGGACAAAGUCCCAGGUCCCAGGCGUGGUUCUCACGGUCUCCGGCACCAGCACGGAGGGCCUUGUCUGCGUUGGGGAGGAGCAGCGUUGGGGAUUCCCCACUCCCCUGAGUUUCACUUCUUCUCCCAACCUGUGUCGGGUCCUUCCUCCUCCAUACACGUGACCGGUCCCCAGUUCCCCGACAUUGAGUGUCGGGUUUCUAGAGAAGCCAAUCAGCGUCGUCGCAGUCUCGGUUCUAAAGUCCCCAGUCACCCGCCUGGACUCAGAUUCAACCAGAUGCCGAGGAUGACGGUAAUGGCGCCCCGAACCCUCCUCCUGCUGCUCUCGGGGGCCCUGGCCCUGAUCCAGACCCGGGCGGGCUCCCACUCCUUGAGGUAUUUUCACACCGCCGUGUCGCGGCCCGGCCGCGGGGAGCCCCGGUACAUCGAAGUCGGCUACGUGGACGACACGCAGUUCGUGCGGUUCGACAGCUACGCAGUGAAUCCAGGAUGGAGCCGCGGGAGCUGUGGGUGAAGAAGGAGGGUCCGGAGUACUGGGACCGGAAUACACGGAUCUCCAAGGCCAACGCACAGGCUUUCCGUGUGAACCUGCGGACCCUGCGCGGCUGCUACAACCAGAGCGGGGCCGAGUCUCACACAGUCCAGAUAAUGUACGGCUGCGACGUGGGGCCCGAGGGGCGCCUCCUCCGUGGGUACCGGCAGGACGCCUACGAUGGCAAGGAUUACAUCGCCCUGAACGAGGACCUGCGCUCCUGGACCGCCGCGGACAGGGCGGCUCAGAUCAUCAAGAACAAGCUGGAGGCGGCCAAUGAGGCUGAGAGGAUGACAGCCUACCUGGAGGGCACCUGCGUGAAGUGGCUCCUGAGAAACCUGCAGAACGGGAAGGAGACGCUGCAGCGGGCGGAUCCCCCAAAGACACACGUGACCCACCACCCUGUCUCUGACCAUGAGGCCACCCUGAGGUGCUGAGCCCUGGGCUUCUACCCUGCGGAGAUCACACUGACCUGGCAGCGGGAUGGGGAGGACCAAACUCAGGACACGGAGCUUGUGGAGACCAGGCCAGCAGGGGAUGGAACCUUCCCGAAGUGGGCGGCUGUGGUGGUGCCUUCUGGAGAAGAGCAGAGAUACACAUGCCAUGUGCAGCACGAGGGGCUGCUGGAGCCCCUCAGCCUGAGAUGGGAGCCGUCUUCCCAGCUCACUAUCCCUAUCAUGGGCAUUGUUGUUGGCCUGGCUGUCCUAGGAGCUGUGGUCAUUGGAGCUGUGGUCAUUGCUGUGAUGCCGAGGAGGAAGAGCUCAGGUGGAAAAGGAGGGAGCUACUCUCAGGCUGCGGGCAGCAACAGUGCCCAGGGCUCUGAUGUGUCUCUCAUGGCUUGUAAAGUCUGAGACAGCUGCCUUGUGUGGGACUGAGAUGUGGGAUUUCUUCACGCCUCCCCUUUGUGACUUCAAGAGCCUCUGGCAUCUCUUUCUGCAAAGGCAUCUGAAUGUGUCUGUGUCCGUUAGCAUAAUGUGAGUAGGUGGAGAGACAGCCCACCCCUGUGUCCACCGUGACCCCUGUGUCCACGAUGACCUGUGUUCCCUCCCCAGUCACCUUUCCUGUUCCAGAGAGGUGGGGCUGAGCAUCUCAAUCUGUCUCAGCUUCAUGGUGCACUGAGCCACAACCUCUUACUUUCUUACUGAAAAUAAGAAUCUGAAAAUAAAUGUGUUUUCUCAAA